GAUGAACGCUAGCUACAGGCUUAACACAUGCAAGUCGCGGGGCAGCAUGGGGGUUGCUUGCAACCCCUGAUGGCGACCGGCGCACGGGUGAGUAACGCGUAUCCAACCUGCCCUUCACCACGGGAUAACCCGGCGAAAGUCGGACUAAUACCGUAUGUUGUCCAUUGACGGCAUCCGAUUUGGACGAAAGGCUUGGCGGUGUAAGGAUGGGGAUGCGUCCGAUUAGCUUGAUGGCGGGGUAACGGCCCACCGUGGCUACGAUCGGUAGGGGUUCUGAGAGGAAGGUCCCCCACACUGGAACUGAGACACGGUCCAGACUCCUACGGGAGGCAGCAGUGAGGAAUAUUGGUCAAUGGGCGUAAGCCUGAACCAGCCAAGUAGCGUGCAGGAUGACGGCCCUAUGGGUUGUAAACUGCUUUUAUGCGGGGAUAAAGUGGCCCACGUGUGGGCUUUUGCAGGUACCGCAGGAAUAAGGACCGGCUAAUUCCGU
rnacentral:rRNA from 1 species